rnacentral:rRNA from 1 species
GAACACCGAUAUGCUUCGGGGAGCUGUAAGCAAGCUUUGAUCCGGAGAUUUCCGAAUGGGGAAACCCACCACUCGUAAUGGAGUGGUAUCCAUAUCUGAAUUCAUAGGAUAUGAGAAGGCAGACCCGGGGAACUGAAACAUCUAAGUACCCGGAGGAAGAGAAAGCAAAUGCGAUUCCCUGAGUAGCGGCGAGCGAAACGGGAUYAGCCCAAACCAAGAGGCUUGCCUCUUGGGGUUGUAGGACACUCUGUACGGAGUUACAAAGGAACGAGGUAGAUGAAGAGGUCUGGAAAGGCCCGCCAUAGGAGGUAACAGCCCUGUAGUCAAAACUUCGUUCUCUCCUGAGUGGAUCCUGAGUACGGCGGAACACGUGAAAUUCCGUCGGAAUCCGGGAGGACCAUCUCCCAAGGCUAAAUACUCCCUAGUGACCGAUAGUGAACCAGUACCGUGAGGGAAAGGUGAAAAGCACCCCGGAAGGGGAGUGAAAGAGAUCCUGAAACCGUGUGCCUACAA